GUGAAUCAUCAAAUCUUUGAACGCAAAUUGCACUCUCUGGUAUUCCGGAGAGUAUGCCUGUUUGAGGGUCAGUUUAAAUAAAAAUCGGUGUGGUUGCUGCCUUUCGUGGUGACGCACCGGAUUUGGGUCGUCUUGCCUUCGGUUAAGUGACCUAAAAUUUUGCAUGAUUUUUUUCGAACGUAUUUAAAUGAUUUACGUACGUUUGCGAUUUUGAAUUCCUGGGGUUGUUAUUCU
rnacentral:misc_RNA from 1 species